GUGACUGGUGGAAGCAGAUGCAGAGAUCUCCCAUUAAUUUUUGUCUUUUUUUCCCCUUUCAACUGAGAUAGGGUCACACUGUGUGGCCCAGGCUGGCCUCAAAUAUGCAGUGGUCUCAGGUUCUCAAUUGCUGGGAUCACAGGUGUGAUGAUGCCUUGCUCCCCAUUAAUUCUUCUUGAGAGUUUUCUGUUAGAGUUUUCUUCUUAAAAGUUUUCUGUUCAAGAUCAGUUAAACAUUGAGAAUUUGAUUGCCAGAUUAUUUUUCCUUUUACAACCUAGGCAACAUAUUUCCCAAUACAGAUCAUCAUUUUCUCUUUAUAGAAGGAAGCACAAAGACAGGUACAAAGUGAACUUACUAGAAGCCCAAUGAUCAGGAACUUGUUCUGACAUGGUCACCUAACACCUGGGCCACUGCUGUCUUCACUGUCCCUGAUGCCAUUUGGAACACUUUUCUACUUAAUAUUGACAUGAUAAUAGGUUAUUCUUUUCCUGGACAACUUACAUUUUGAUAUUGGACCUUGGCACUCUUAAUACAUGGAAGUGGGUAAAUAUUUUCUGAUAGACUUCUCUGUUUAUUGUUGGAUAUCUGUCAGCAUGUCUACUUUUACCCACCAGAAGCAAGUAGCAACCCCAGUAGCAAUAAUAAUUUGACAAUCAAAGACAUCUCUAAAUAUUGUCCAAAGUUCCUGAGUGUGCUAUAUGUACCACUGAUUGAACAGCUGAUGCUGGCCUCACAUGGACGAUAUCCUACCUCAGAUCCCUACUGAUGUAAUUACAGGAAUGAACUACAACAUCUGGCUAAAAUUACUUUUUAAAAAAAGAUGGAAAUAAAGCUGGCAAAAC